rnacentral:rRNA from 1 species
AUUGAACGCUGGCGGCAUGCCUAACACAUGCAAGUCGAACGGUAACGGGCCUUCGGGUGGCGCCGAGUGGCGAACGGGGGCGGAAUACAUCGGAACGUGCACGAUCGUGGUGUAUAACGGGGGGAAAGCUUGGCUAAUACCCCCUACGACCUCAGACUUCCAGCAGGGGACCGCAAGGGCUUGCGCGGCCGGUGCGGCCGAUGGCAGAUUAGGUAGGUGGUGGUAUAAAGGUUUACCAAGCCGCCGAUCUGUAGCUGGCCUGAGAGGAUGAGCAGCCACACUGGAACUGAGACACGGCCCAGACUCCUACGGGAGGCAGCAGUGGGGAAUUUUGGACAAUGGGCGCAAGCCUGAUCCAGCCAUACCGCGUGCAGGAUGAAGGCCUUCGGGUGGUAAAGCGCUUUUGUACGGAAAGAAAGGCAGCCUUUUAAUACAGGAGGGUCAUGACGGUACCGUAAGAAUAAGCACCGGCUAACUACGUG